rnacentral:sRNA from 2 species
UUCGAUAUCUGGUAGGUGAGGCUCCUACAGGGAUACGGACUGCUGCCGCGGAGUGGUGGAGACACUAUGAGAAGGUUUGAACAGGUUAUAUCGACAACAAGGUAUAACAUAAUGCAGUUUCAUCGCCCUGUAAAGCUAAAGCUCAAACAUCGGUGCGGAA